rnacentral:rRNA from 1 species
CAGUACUGCUCUUUUGAUACCUGAGAGAUCAGGUUUCCCCUUCGGGGGCAAAAUGACAGGUGGUGCAUGGUUGUCGUCAGCUCGUGUCGUGAGAUGUUGGGUUAAGUCCCGCAACGAGCGCAACCCUUAUGACUAGUUGCCAGCAUUUAGUUGGGCACUCUAGUAAGACUGCCGGUGACAAACCGGAGGAAGGUGGGGAUGACGUCAAAUCAUCAUGCCCCUUAUGACCUGGGCUACACACGUGCUACAAUGGAUGGUACAACGAGUUGCGAGACCGCGAGGUCAAGCUAAUCUCUUAAAGCCAUUCUCAGUUCGGACUGUAGGCUGCAACUCGCCUACACGAAGUCGGAAUCGCUAGUAAUCGCGGAUCAGCACGCCGCGGUGAAUACGUUCCCGGGUCUUGUACACACCGAA